GAUGAACGCUAGCGACAGGCUUAACACAUGCAAGUCGAACGACCCGCGCCCGGGUGAGUAACACGUAUCAAACCCGCCCUUUACUCGGUGAUAACCUUACGAAAGAAAGAUUAAUACCUGAUAUAAUGGAUGGGAAUGCGUUUCAUUAGGUUGUUGGUGAGGUAACGGCUCAGCAAGCCUUCGAUGGCUAGUGGGUAUGAGAGGCAGUGCACCCACAUUGGAACUGAGGCACGGGCCAAACACGUACGGGAGGCAGGGGUGAUGAAGAUUGGUGAAUGGGCGCCAGCCUCAACCAGCCAGGUAGCGUGAAGGAUGAAGGCUUAUGGGUCGUAAACUUCUUUGAUAUAAGAAUAUGUAGUAUAUGAAUAAGGAUCGGCUAACUCCGUGCCAGCAGCCGCGGUAAUAC
rnacentral:rRNA from 1 species